UUUCUCAUUAUGCAAUACAUCCUUUCUCGAUCGAUUCCUCUCUAACUCCUAAUCAAAUAGCUUUUAUGGGGGACAGCGACUCCCAAGGAAUUCCAUAUGAUUCUUUUUUCUCUUACGAAAGAAAGUGUUUCCAUCCCGUCUACGGGCAGGGAUCAUGCGCAUGGAGAUUGUUUGCGACUCUAUUCUGGAAAUGGUUUCAGAUUCUCAUGCUCUGAACUAGAG
rnacentral:lncRNA from 1 species